GAAGGACAGGCUUUUGUAUCACAGACUCGACGGUAAGAGCGUGCGUUUGACGCUAUCCGUACCCGACAAAUAGGUUGCAUAUGGAAGAGGACACGAUCUAUAGCGAGGCGAAACCACCAGCGCCCAAGUUCGUCCGAGUCUUCGAUAUUGGGAAGAGUAAAGAAAGCUUCCUUCGUAGCUGUUGUCAGGCAGUUGGCCUGAUCGCGAACACAAGCCCCUUGCCGCGGGUAUCCUGGGUGACGCGCCCGAGAACUCGACGGUGGUUCUGGCGAAAGCCGCAGCAAGACGAGGAAUUUCCGUUUACGUUGCGAUUUGUUGACGUGAACUACAACGGUAUCUUGCUCCAUUUGAUAGAAAACGGUGAAGUGCAGGUUCAGAGGACGGAGAACCCGCUCAAGUUUCGCCUCGUUCGGAUGCGCUAGGACGCCGCAAUCGGCGCGGUGCCCGGGUCCUUGUCACCGUUCCAGUGCAGUGCAAUGCUUCCAUACGGCGUUGUUUGGUGGGCGGUAACCUGUCCUGUGGUCGCGAGCUUCAAAGUGGUGGCGAACAGCAGCGCCGCGCAGGGCCGGCUCCAAGCCGCGGGAUACGGCUUUGUUUGAUUUUCUGUGCUCUGUGCGCUUGGUGUGUCGUUUUUGGCGUCGAACGCGGAAACAAAAGCACCGAGCAGGGCGGAAAAGUUGACCCAGCGACAUGAACCUGGACUGCUGGCGUCUCCGGCGCGCUGCCUCUCGAUGCAACGAAUGAGUGUUUCGCGAUACGACUGAGGCGUUACGGUUGGCCUGCGGUCGCCCUCGAUGGACACUAUCGAGGCAUGGGAUGUGCCUUGCCCUGCAUUCUCCAUGACAGGCAUAAGUUCUGUGUGUAUUCUUGACAUCGCUAAACCUGGGGAGCAUUGGUCUCCGCUAUCCAAUGGAGACCGCGCAGCAGGAACACCCGAUAGCCUCAGAUCAGGCACCGUCAUUCUCGGCAGCGAUGCAGAGUGCUCGGAUGAGGCUGCACGAAGGGCAACCGCGUAGGCGCCUGGUGUGUCUGUAUCCAGUGAGGGCACCUCGAAUCCAUCAGCCGUAGCAUAACCGCGUAAUCGCUCCGGAGCGCUUCCAGAAAAUGACGCAGACUGCGGCAAUGAUGCUCGCAGCUGAGCGUUGUCCUCAGAUUCUGGUGGCGGAUGACGCUCUUCCCCAGCAUGUGGCAUGCCAUGCAUGUCCUUUGGAUCCGUAGCUGGCCUUUGAGGCUGUGCUUCGAAAUGUGGGCGGAGCACUGCCUCGAAAAUAGCUCUGAGGCGGCUGGUGCGUGCCACCGCAACCGCAAAGAUACCUUGGCUAAGACAUCGAUAAACGAAGUCUUUUGUCGCGAGCAAGUUGCUUACGUAUGUGUUCUCAUCGAGAGACUGUGUGAGACGCUGCAACUGCGUUGGAGCACUGCCUGCCUCCGUGCCCGGUGACUGGUGAUAGGGACCUUGCGCUGCAGUGGCACUGUUGGUGCUGCGAUUUGAUUGCUGGCAAGCGAGCACGAGAUCCCGUGUGUGAUGCAUAUUCAUUUGCAAUCGCCUCGGUGGUAGCGCGAGCGCAUCCAGCUCAUCAAGCUGCAAACAGGCUACGCUCGACAAUGCAUUGCGACGACGAAGCGAUCGUUGCGAUCCCAAACGUUCCUGCUGCUCCUUCGUUGGCACCGAAUUCGGGACAAGACGUUGCGGUGCGUCUUGAGCAUGCCCAGUAGUCGUUUCAUUGCCAUGAUUGGGUAAUGGAGCCAUAUUCGUCUGUGCACUUGUGUCAUCUGGGAUCAGCGCCAGAGCAGCAGCAUCGAGGGCCUCUAAUAGUCGCCGGGGAGCGAUGCUCGAGUCACCGCUUGCAUCGCGGUCCUCGGGGAAUCUCUCCCGUUCAUCGAGCUGGGGAAUGAUCGACAGACUGCCAGACGAAAACUCAAUUCGCGGCUGUCUCAAUGUAAUGGUGUCCUGGUCGUUGACACGAAACGGUGUCGGCGAGAGCGGCCAGGCGCGCUCGACGCUCCCGCUCGGCUCGGUGGCGGCUUCGGGAACAGAUGCCGCAAGCUCAUAGGGUUGCAUGGCUGCCGCCGCCGUCGCCACCAACCCAUGCUGGGGUGCAGCGAGCAACGCGGCUCUUUCGUGACGCCCGUAAAGCUCCGAGUCGUACAGAUGCCAGAGCACAUCAACAUGGGCGAAAUAUUCACCAGAUGUAUGUGGUGCAUUCGUCUGCUGGGGCACCGGCUCCAAGGAUCGCGAGUCUGGGCCCCAGGUGAUGCUGCCGUAGCGCGCGCAGAGCUGCUUCCGCCUGCUGGCCCCGAUCCGGUGCAACAGGUAGCGCGUAUCUCGCGAAUUCCUCGCAGCAAACUGGUCAGCGUCCGCGGCAUUCGCGUCUGUAGCGACACUAGCAUCUGAUGCCACCUCUGCGCCUGCCGCUGCGGAAUCGUCGUGCUGUCGUCCAUCGGUGGACAGUAUACAGACGCGUGCUUGUAACCGCUCCCGGCUAAACCAAUCUUCCGCAAGCGUGCAAAACAGUAGUACCUGUCGCUCAUAGAUUCUCGCAAUGCCGACCAGAAGCAGUGCCUCCAGUCGCAAUGACAGGGCAUUGAUAUGGAUCGUCUCUAGCAGUUCCCUGCAGAUACGAGCAAUGCUUACACGAAUCAGAAAGGACCGAGGAAGACGUUCGGUCCCGAGUGUUGCUGCAAUCCAAACUUUGGCGAAUGAACUGCGCCGUUUGAUGAGACUGGUCGCAUAAAAC